GAUGAACGCUGGCGGCGUGCCUAAUACAUGCAAGUCGAGCGAAUGGAUUAAGAGCUUGCUCUUAUGAAGUUAGCGGCGGACGGGUGAGUAACACGUGGGUAACCUGCCCAUAAGACUGGGAUAACUCCGGGAAACCGGGGCUAAUACCGGAUAACAUUUUGAACCGCAUGGUUCGAAAUUGAAAGGCGGCUUCGGCCGUCACUUAUGGAUGGACCCGCGUCGCAUUAGCUAGUUGGUGAGGUAACGGCUCACCAAGGCAACGAUGCGUAGCCGACCUGAGAGGGUGAUCGGCCACACUGGGACUGAGACACGGCCCAGACUCCUACGGGAGGCAGCAGUAGGGAAUCUUCCGCAAUGGACGAAAGUCUGGCGGAGCAACGCCGCGUGAGUGAUGAAGGCUUUCGGGUCGUAAAACUCUGUUGUUAGGGAAGAACAAGUGCUAGUUGAAUAAGCUGGCACCUUGACGGUACCUAACCAGAAAGCCACGGCUAACUACGUGCCAGCAGCCGCCGCUG
rnacentral:rRNA from 1 species